AUGUGUGUGGUGUCGGCAUGUCUGGUGUAUAUAUGUGUGUGUGUGUCUGUGUUUGGUGUAUACACAUGUCUGUGGUAUGUUUUCAUGUUUGGUGUAUAUACGUGUGUGUGUCUGCGUGUUUGGUUCAUGUGUGUGUGUUUGUUGUAUAUAUGUGUGUGUGCAUGGUGUGUCUGCGUGUUUGGUGUAUAUACGUGUGUGGUGUCUGCGUGUCUGGUGUACACAUGCGUGUGGCGUGUGUCUGCCUGUUUGGUAUGUUCAUGUUUUCCUUUCUCCGUUCAUAGGAAAGGUCUGGGAAUCGGAUCACUCAGAGGCAUUUCCGAAUUGACCUUGAUCUCUCCGUCUCUCCUAAAGAUGCCCAUUUCAUGGUCUCUGAAGCCAUUGCUGAGCCUUUCUGUCACUGCGAGGGAGCCACAGGCUCUCUCUGAAGUGAAUGGGGUUCGUCCACUUUGCUUCCACCCCUGUGGGCUCCCUGCCCUCUGUCCUGCGUGCGGAGACCGUGGGGAAGCAGAAGGCACCUCGGGUGGCCAGAGCUGCCGCUGUCAGGCUGCAGGGCCCCUGGACUUCUGGACAGGUGUCCAAUUGUGGCUCCAGGUCCAAUUCGUGGGAGUAAGUCGGGGGCAGAGGAGGAGGCUUGUUGCUACUGCUCACCUGACAGUGACCAUGCCCACCACCCACACAGGGUCAAGUGGCUGUGCCAGGAAGAAAGCUGGGGAAGUGCGGUGCCUGUGGAGAGCUGCAGGCAGCCUUGACGGAGAAAAGGGCAUCUCUGCAGUCAGAGGUCACAGCUGCAGAAACUGUGGCCUCAGGGAAAGGUGGUGGCCGGGAGGAGCCAAGAGGAAGUGCUGCAGAGGAGGGCAAGCAAAGGAAGGGAGAAGAGCCAAAGGCCUUGUCUGCGCUGCUGCUUCCCCUGAGCAUGAGAGGCACAGCGUGAGGGCUCUGGAAAGGAGCCUACAGCACGGCACCAUGGUCCUGGUCACCCCAGACCACCCAUGGGGUCUCCUUUCUACGUGGAGCUGCCCAGACAUCGGCUCCCCCCACAGCUCGGUUCCCCAUCUGCAGAUGUGGCAGGGGAGGGCAAGGCUCCUCCCAGCCCCAGCCGCCUGA
rnacentral:lncRNA from 1 species